AACGAACGCUGGCGGUAUGCUUAACACAUGCAAGUCGAACGAACAAAAUUGGGGCUUGCUCCAAUUUUAGUGAGUGGCAAACGGGUGAGUAACACGUGGGAAUCUACCUAUCAGUACGGAAUAACAUUUGGAAACAGAUGCUAAUACCGUAUAUUCUCCAAGGAGGAAAGAUUUAUCGCUGAUAGAUGAGCACGCGUAAGAUUAGGUAGUUGGUAGGGUAAUGGCCUACCAAGCCGACGAUCUUUAGCUGGUCUGAGAAGAUGAUCAGCCACACUGGUGCUGAGACACGGCCCAGACUCCUACGGGAGGCAGCAGUGGGGAAUAUUGGACAAUGGGCGAAAGCCUGAUCCAGCAAUACCGCGUGAAUGAUGAAGGCCUUAGGGUUGUAAAGUUCUUUUAGUUGGAAAGAUAAUGACGGUACCAACAGAAAAAGCCCCGGCUAACUCCGUGCCAGGAGCCGCAGUAA
rnacentral:rRNA from 1 species